CGGCUUCCUACGGGAGGCAGCAGUGGGGAAUUUUGCGCAAUGGGCGAAAGCCUGACGCAGCAAUACCGCGUGAGUGAUGAAGGCUCUUGGGUCGUAAAGCUCUGUCAGAGGGGAAGAACCUCCUGUCAUAUAAUACAUGGCAGGCCUGACGGUACCCUCAGAGGAAGCACCGGCUAACUCCGUGCCAGCAGCCGCGGUAAUACGGAGGGUGCAAACGUUGUUCGGAAUUAUUGGGCGUAAAGAGCAUGUAGGCGGUCUGUCAAGUCUGAUGUGAAAGCCCGGGGCUCAACCCCGGAAGUGCAUUGGAAACUGGCGGACUUGAGUACGGGAGAGGAAAGUGGAAUUUCGAGUGUAGGGGUGAAAUCCGUAGAUAUUCGAAGGAACACCAGUGGCGAAGGCGGCUUUCUGGACCGAUACUGACGCUGAGAUGCGAAAGCGUGGGGAGCAAACAGGAUUAGAUACCCCAGUAGUCCAAGC
rnacentral:rRNA from 1 species